GGCGCGGACAUGCGGCCGCCGUCAUCGGGCAACCGGUGCCGGAGGAAAGUCCGAGCACGACAGGACACGGCGGUGGGUAACGCCCACCCGUCCGCAACCGGUGAAACUGGAACGCGGGCGCGGGAAAGUGCCACAGAGAACAUACCGCCGAUGGCCCAGUAGCAUGGCCUUCCAGGCCAUGAUGAACUGAUUCACGGGCUGGAAGCCCGUGCUACUGGGCUCAGGCAAGGGUGAAAAGGUGGGGUAAGAGCCCACCGCCCGCUUGGUGACAAGCGGGGCACGGAAAACCCCGCCGCGUGCAAGGUCCAGCAGUCGCCGCGCCCCGUGUGUUUGCCGGGGCGACGCCCGGUCCGGGCGGAAGGCGGCGGGUAGACCGCUCGAGCCCCGCGGCAACGCGAGGCCCAGAGAAAUGGCCGCUCAGUCGCGUAGGCCCGCUCUCACCACCUCCAGCCCCCGUCAAUGAGGACCGGGAGGAACGGGAAAGCGGGAACCACGCGGCGAGACAGAACUCGGCUUACACGUCCGCGCCGAUU
rnacentral:RNase_P_RNA from 1 species